AUAAUAAAUGCAGUUUUGGCGCUGUUUAAUGACUGCACGUGAACUGAUCGUAUCCUCCACAUUAAUACCAGUUUCAGCACAAAAUAAACAUGACUAAACAUCCGAAGCCGCACAGUACCGAGCUCCAGGGAUCGUAGACGUCACACACUCCCUGGAGCUCGGGGCCAGCUGUCAAUACGCAGAUGCUGGCCCCACAGGAACCCACACUGGCCCCAGCGGUGGAUGCAGGGAGCCAACCAGCGCACAGCUUUUGUGUAAUGAGACGGGGCCUUUCGCUGACAGUCCACCCCUGAGAAGUGACAUCACUUUGGCGGCAAUGGAUUUAAUGAAUUCUGAAGUGACCAAUCAACCGCAGAAGCAUUAGGAAGUGUUACCAAUGGAUUUGACACAUUCUGCCAGGUUGCAGAGGAACAAAGGCUGAUAAUGGGCCAGACAGUGAAGUGCUCUGCAAUUACACCAGCAGGACGUAAUUGACUGGGAGAAGAACAGACAAUGUCUGAUCAUCAGCGAGCAACAAAAGAGCAGCAGCUUGGACAGAGUUUCCUCUAACAGCUGUACCCUUGAUCCGAGCACGUAUCCUAUGAUACUAACGUCCAACAAAGACCCUCCUCGUGGCCAUCAGGAAUCCCCCUGUGGACGAGCCUGCGCUUUAUUCCGAGCUCCAGUUCUCCUCACGGGUCCCCAGGCACCGCCGGGGUCAUGGCUAACCCAGGCACGGUGUCAGCAAUUCAUCUGAGAUGCCACGAGUUCAUGAUACACCUCAGCUCAGGAGGAGAUCCGCACAUGAUGAGAGAAGUGUGGGGUCACGGAGUUCACAAUAACUAGAGACUCUGGCUGUCAGACUCCACACCGAAAACACGGAGGAACACACACUGUUUUCUAGCUGUACAACAGAGAUGCCAUGGACAUGUUGUUUUU